rnacentral:rRNA from 1 species
CGGCGCUAAUACCUCAUAAUGCAGCGGAUCCGCAUGGAUAUGUUGUUAAGGUUUACCGCCUUGGGAUAGGCUUGCGUCUGAUUAGUUAGUUGGUGUGGUAACGGCACACCAAGGCUACGAUCAGUAACUGGUCUGAGAGGAUGAUCAGUCACACUGGAACUGAGACACGGUCCAGACUCCUACGGGAGGGCAGCAGUGAGGAAUAUUGGGCAAUGCUCGAAAGAGUGACCCAGCAACGCCGCGUGGAGGAUGAAGGUAUUCUAUAUCGUAAACUCCUGUGAGAGCAGACGAAAGACAGAUUAUUAAUCUGGAUGACUGUAUGCUCAGAGGAAGCCCCGGCUAACUACGUG